CUUUAAAUUCGAGUGAAACGAGCCUUUCACGUAGUCACAAAUUCGACUGCCCUUUCACUAUUAUUAUUAUUUCGAGUAAUAGCGGAAGGAGUGCCAAAGCCCAUUUUAGUAGAAAGCUGCUGCCCUUUUAUAGUAAUGCGGAGUGACAUAAUCAAUCGAAUUCGACUGGUUGGUUCCCCUUAUUAGUCAAUUGCUUUUGACGUAUCAGGUGGGAAUGGGAGAGCCUCUUUUCUUUCCGCAAUGGAAUUGGCUUAAGCUCGACCUUUUCUUUCAUUUCCUAUCAUAGGGAUAUAAAAAUAAAUCCAAUUGCGUUUUUCUUAGUUUAGACUAUCAAAAGACAUCCCACAACCCGGUCUUAGGUUCAGAGUCGCUUUGUGGGAACUUCAAGAGAGAGAAGAGAGAUCAUAGCUUAAUAUCAAAGGUCAGGUAUACCUGCCUACGUUCGGCAUACACAUUCACUAGUUCCGUUCGGAACCUUUCUCUAGAUGGAAUCCUGAUUCGACUUUCAAAUGCAAGAGCAAGAAUGCCGUGAGGGAGCCCUAUCUAAAAAAUGCAAGGCCAGAUCCCACUUUCUUUAAUCGAGCGGGCAAGGGAUCGCAAACAUCUUUUCCUUCAGAGAAAAGGUUUUCAAAAGAUAUCCCGAAGGGGUCUUAGGUAAGGUAAGGAGUGACAGCUCUAUUCAAUAAGCUGGCUCUUUAAGGGAAGAUAGGGAAUCUCCUAAAAUGUGGAAGUUUUGUGCUUUAGAGAUAGGGCCGGCACGCUUUGCUGGAAAGCAAUAAGUCAACAAAACAAGGUAGGUCUACCCCCUAAUAAAGGUUUCGCUCGACGACCUUGUAUCCAUUCUCGAUUAAAGCACGGAGAGUUAGGUUUAUUAUCUCCAGUUUGAUGCUAUCUUCUCCACGACUUGGUUCUUAUGGAUCUCCUCCAGGUCCUAGGCAUCUUGUCUCUAGCUCUACUCUCUAUCGGUAGUAAAAUCAGUACUUUGUCUUUGCCUGUCUCUGUCCAUUCCUUCAACACUGAUGGACUCGGAGUGGCAUAACCCCUUUAAUAAGAAGCUUAAGACCUAAAGCGAGGAGAUAGAAUCGAAAGAAUGAUAGCAAGUUCUUUGAAAGUGGGAAGAAAGCCAAGGAUAUGGUGGUGUGUAGGGUCUUUCAAAUCAAUUAGGAAAGCGUGAGCUGAGAAGGAACACGGCUUUCCGCGCCUUGACAAGUGGAUCUACCAAGAAUAGCUUUUUCAGCCGUUACUUAUUAUAUAAUAGCUCGAUCCGCUCACGCAUGUGAUUGAUUUCUCCCCUCUCUUUCGAAAAUCUUCCAUUCGAACAGGAAGAUUCCCUUCUCGCUGUGUAUCCAGAACUGUAGGAUGAUGAGGAUCUAUAAAGGUUCUUUGAUCAAGCUCUCGCCUCGGCUUGUUUUGUUGCCGAAGACCAGGACCCGUCUUAUUUGCUGAAAACCUGUAUGUUUAGGGACUCUUUCCUUUCAAUGGACAUACUUGCCUGGAACUGAUUCUACCUUGAGAGCGCUUCCCUCUUUUCUAAUUCCUUCCCUUUGAACACCGAAAAUACAACUUCUAAUAGCCAUUUCUAUUUUUUAGAUGUUUCAAACAAGUAAUUUUACACUUUUAUCCUUCCUGUCUUUCCCCGAUAGAGGAGUUUGACCCUUCCACUUCUGCCUUUGCCCUUUGUACUUCUUCCCGCAAUUGAGAUCCCUGUUAAGGAAGAAUAUCUCGCUCGUGCUUUUUUGCGAGGAAAUCGCUCUACUUUUUCCAGCGAUGAGUGAUUGAGUAAGGUCUAAUUCAAUCUGUGUUAUGACCUACCUUUUUUGAUUGAAGUAAACGAGAGCUUUACUUCAUCUUUUCAAACCCUAAGGUUUGAGCUCGUCCUUGGGUCGGAUUCGGAUCCUUUUCUCUCUUUUGAAAUUCCAUAGAUAUAGAUGUCUCAACUGCCGAAUCCGAAUCCUUAGAACAACUAGAUUCCGUUGAUUCACUGUCCAUUUGUCCUUCAACCGGAUUAAUGGUCAACGACUUUGACAACCUUUCCUUCACACAAGGUUUUUAAUCCAUCUCCCCCGCUUAGGGCAGUAAGGGGAAGUAGCGAUAUUCCGAUUCCUUCGUGGGGAAUCAACGAAGGUAGCCGCUCCAGCAGCUUUAGUACUUAAGUUAACGCCCCAGCCCUUAUCCCACGAUGAGAAGGUAGAUGCGGUAAGCCAACUCCUAUCCUUCUUGCGGAAAGGGCAUUCAAUGCCAUCUUCAUUCCCUUCCUUGCUUCGAGGAGCAGGUCGAAUAGUCAAAGAAGGGGAUGGCUAAUUCCAGGAAUAGAGUAGCAUUCUCAAGCACUACCCUCCGGUUUUUUUCAGUCCAUAUAAAACAGUCAAUCUACCAGCAGCAGUGGCUGCAGAUACAUGUCCACCACAUGUUUAUCUACUACCAUAAGCGGGAGCAGUUGCAGGUAAAGAGUGUUGUGAGGGCUUUCAUUUGCGCGUUAAGGGCAGUUUCUGUUAUAGCACUAGAAAUCUGUGCCGUUAGUCGAAUGCUCGGAAUGAAAGAAUGACUAUUUCCUUGCUGGAACAUAAUGACAACCGCAGGAAUUCGGAAUAAGACAUGUUAAGUUUCUCAUCUUUCUGUCUAAUGACUACUAUGACAUGCCUAGACUAUAACAUUCCUACGGAGUGCUGCCCAUAGAUUACGGAACACUUGGCAUAUGUUGAUUGAGUCCCAGGUAUAGCUCCCUCACUCGCUCUACUUUGAAUCACGAAUUAGCGUAUGAAAAGCGGCGAUCUUUCUCUAUUUCUUCCUCUUCCACCAAAACAAACAAGUUGUUUUCGGGCGUCAGGCAAACUUAGUUCUUCGUUCCUCCGGUAAUUGGAUUGAUAUAUAAGGAUUGGGGUUGUCACCCAUAUGCUUCUUAUCUUUGGCUUCGAACAAGGGGAGUCCUUUCAAGCUUCAUCAAAUCCAUGGCACAAGGUCUAUUUUUCAUUAUAGAAUCGAGCAAGAAUCGGAUUGUGAAUUAGGAUUGUGUGCAAGAAGGGAUUCGGAAACAGGAAAGCGAGUCAAGUAAUCCGAAUACGUAGCCACUCUCAUUCUAAUGCUUAUAUCCAGAACUAGUUCACCGAACAAAUGGACAGAACUACUGACUAAACUAUAGCGAGCUAAUACCUAAACUGGAACUCUGAAAUAGCACUCAUUCAUUCAAUUAUUUGAAGCUAAGGUGCGGGAAAAGAAUACAUAAGGUUAGAUAUGAACUAGUUGACUGUUCGAUUGAGGGACUAUGAUGCAUUUGACUCAUGUUUUUAUUCCAUUCCAGGCAUAACAUGAUUCGAUUCGAUGGUACUCUGAUGACCCAACAUCUUAGUAAGUUUCACCCCGACUUGAAAGUGGAUACUGUAAUGCGAAAUGGUAUUAUGUACGAGGUUGCUGUUUCUAGACGUGUUCAGGACGGUAGGAAUAAAUCACGUCUCCUUUUCAAAAUGCGGUGUUCGUUGUUGAUUCUCCCUGAUUCGUUAGCAAACUUAGCUAAACAAUUGUGUUAGGAAUAAGAAAGCGAUGUCGGCGGAAGAAAUACAAAGAAACCUAUCACACUUUUGUAGUAUAGACGCGGUGCACCUGAUUUUAUAGGCAUCGGAAUGGGUUUAUCUUGGAAGAUCUUGACUUCUCCGUGCCUUCUGCCUCCGACACAUCAUAUCUCGUAUGCCGACCUCGUACUUUUGAUCACUUCUUCCUUAUGAAUUGUAUCUAUUACGAAUUGUUUCUAUUUAAGCUUUUUCUCGAUUGAUAUUCAUUUUUUCAUCUAUCUCAUGAAAUUUCCCUUCUAUUAAGCGAUAAAGAGCAAUUGACGAAGUCAGCAGGAAGUCCGUCAGAUGACGGUAUGGAUCAAAGGAAUCCUCCUAUCUUCGAUUGAACACUGUUUUACUGGGAUUUCGCAUUCCUGUUCCGAUUGGCAGAAGCCUUUCUUUCUGUUUGUGCCGCCCUAUGGCGAUUUCUUACUCAACGUUUGCACUUUCUUACCAACUCUUGUACAAGUUAGGAUCAGCGUUGUUCUGACGAUUAAGAUUUCUCUGUUUGACGGUUUUUACCUUCAACAACCUUUGUAGCAUCACUUCUCGAUAGCUUUAGUGCUCGGAGAGUAAGCAUAGCAUAUUGUCAGCUAGUUAUUUAUUGAUAGCAAACAGCUAGUAGGUCAAGCCGGAGCCUUCACUCACUCAGCUUGGGUCAGCACCGUAUCUCUAAUUGGCGGAGACGAACUCCAAUCCACCCACUUCAUUUGUUUCCCAAGGAGGGUCAUCAGCGAGUCUGCUCUCCCCAAGGUAGUUAAAAGGCGUAGGUACGCAUUCCCCUGCACCAAUGUACCGAAGCACUUUACCUUUAAUCACUAGAUGGGCUUGAGCCAGGGUCCUAUUUUCGUUCUCCAUGACUUCAAAGCUGCUUCUCUUUAUCAAUUCUGGACAGUUCUAUAAACAUUGGUACCAGGGGUUCUAUGACCAAAAAUCUUAUAUUUUUUUUCUCCUGGCGUUUAUGUAUUUAUUAUCGCUGUCUAAAUGCGAUGACUGUCGUCAGCAAGUAUCCAGUGCCCAUAGUCGAAGAACUCCUGGAUGUCUGGUGCCUCAUGGUUUUCUAAACCCGAUCUCGGAGCUGGUUAUCACCAGAUUCGUAUGGCAGCUGGCGAUGAAUUCAAAACAGCCUUCCAGACUCUGGAAGGGCACUACGAGUACAAGGUCAUGUCCUUCGGCCUCGCGGGAGCACCAGCCACCUUCUUGGGAGCCAGGAACGCCACUCUCAAACAAACCCCUUCUGCGCAAAUGCGCCCUGGUGUUAUUUGACGACAUUUUAGUCUACAGUGCCUCCCUUGAAGAUCACACAAUCCACUUGCAAUCAGUGCUUGAGUUGUUAAGAAGGGAUCAAUGGCAAGUCAAACGCUCAAAGUGCUCUUUCGCUCAAUGCCAGUUAUCCUAUUUGGGCCAUACUAUUAGCCAGCAUGGGGUUGCCACUGAAACCCACAAAAUUAAGAACAUUGCCAACAGGUCUUCUCUGCAAUCAAUCAAAGAAGUCCGCAGCUUCUUAGGUUUGGCCGGCUAUUACAGGCGCUUCGUUCGCCAUUUCGGCAUCAUUGCAAAGCCACUGACACAUCUCCAGAAGAAACAUGGGGAGAUCCUGAGCUUUGAGGCAACUAAAGAAACAUGAUGCUUUUCAGUUAUAUUUAAGAACAGAAGAGGAAGACAAAGUAACCCUAGGAUUUCUCUGCUCCCAGUGCUUAAUACGAAAAGCUCGACAUAAACCCAAGGGCGGGCUACCGCUGCUAAACCAGGGUCUCCAUCUCUUUGAAUAAAAGCCAUCCUUUCCAUCGACCAGCCUACGAGCAUCUUCGGUACUAUAAUGAAGGACGUUGACACUAUCCCAUUCUACGUAGCAGGGGUAAUUCUAGAAACAUCCUAUCUAAAAAUCAUUUAGAAAUAAGUUUCUAUAGAAAGAUAAGCGGGUGUACAAAUGAACUUUCUUAUGAUACUAUGAUACUCAGAUACCACUCAUUGGAUGGGACCGGUGGACCAUUGAUCGAUAAAAAGUAGUAAAUAAGCCCUUUUCUCGCAGGUACGAGAGAUUGCACAACCUUGCCAUGAACGCUUGAAGUUCUAAAUAAAUCUGAAGAGGAAGGCCAAUUGUAUCAUGUCAGCAAUGGUACUCUCCUGGGCUAUAGACUGUCACCUGCUUCAAGGUAUCUUGCUUGUGAAAGCCGAACAAAGAAGAAAAGAACGAAAUGGUGGUUCAUCAGUAGUCAAAGGUGCAGACUUCAUUCUUUGUUUCCUUCAUCCUCUACCAUUACGUUUUGCUUUUUAGGACUACCUAAAGGAAAGGAAUAGAAUGAUCCAUAGUCGUACCUACUUGAGGGCACCGAAUCCAUACAACUUACAUCAACUUUAUAUAUAUAUAAUUAUUGAUUCCAUUCACACCCUUUGGGAACAGGAAACGGAGAACUUGUUGCUUUCUUCUGUUUUUGCUGUAGCUGAGGACAACUUAGGUUGAAAUGAUUUACUUUAUCUAGGUACGUGGUCCAAACGGAUAGGUAGAAUUACCCAGAGGGAGCCCUAGUUUCAGCAUAAAAGGAAGAAGUCGGGUCCGCGCGGUUCGCCUUUUCGAAUGCAGCAGUGUUUUUGGCUUUGGAAAUACCAGCUAGCUAGCUACUUACUUGUGUGGGAGUCCUAUAAAGAAAAGCCUGAGUUAUAGACUGACUAAAGAAAUCCACCUAAGCCGUAAGUUUUUGUUACAUCUGGCACACCUGCUUGCAAACUAGAAAAUAUGAUUCUAGUAGAAAGUGGACUGAGUCUUAAGAGAGAUAAGCCGGUCUUUAUACACUGGCCCUACUUCAAAUUCAGUCAGUGGCCAGAUGCAUUGUAAGCAAUUCCAGUCACAGCUGCUGAGGUGGCGUAGUCAGCCCUACCUAAGUAUUGAACAAAACCAACCAUUUUUAUAAUAUUAUCCUAUCUUGCAUAUUAAUUAAGACCACUUAUUAGAUCAAGGUUGGCAUACAUAGCAUAGGAAGGUGGAGAUCUGAAGUAAUCUAUAUGUCCCUCAGCCAGUCAUCCAUUUCUCUGGAUAUGAGUUUACAACAUCAAAAAAAUGACCCUUUUCAUAAUGAAAUCCAUUACAUGCCAUCCAAAGAACUCUGAUUUGGAUUACCAGCUUUGGGGUGGAAGGACGGAUCGAUCGACCAAGCAACAACGAUCCCUUUACGAUGGUCAAGUGCGAAGGUCCCGAGCAGAUUGCCGAUCUGCCAGUGUUGUUUGACUGAUUUUUUUCAUCUCAAAACCAUUGAUGCUGACCUGUCACUGCUCAAGUGAUUUUCCUGCAUGGUUCUAGGAACCAAAAGAAGACUUUGGGUAGGUCAACGAUAGAUUCUAUGUCUAUAAUGGAACGUAGGUUCUUUUUAGGAGGAAAGCUUAGAAGGAUUCUUUUCAGAGCGUAAGAACCAUCGAAGAGCAUGGGAUUGGUAUUGCUGGCAGGGACUUUAAAGUUAGAGCUUGAUCACUAAACCCCUGCUGCUUUCCAUCAUUCCUGCUAAAGUAGUUGGCAAUGACUCAUUGGAAACUUCUAUUGGAUCUGGGAGAAGAAGAAAUCCAAUCAAUGUGUAGGUAGUCAAUUUCUGGCGAAAGCACAAACCUUUUCUCUUACUUAAGGCGAUAAAAUCCAUUCAUUUCGAUAAUAAUCUGUUUGAGAUGUGUUUUACCGAGAAGGUAUAUGGUUUACGGUUCUAAGCCGUUGAGUUCGUGUUUUGGUAGUUGUUGUUUUGAAGGAUGGUGGAUCCAGAGUUGAAGGAUAGCGAGGCAUACCAACGCCAUGCCAACAAGAGGAAGCAUCCGGACUUAAAACAGCCGACCUACCCCCUGCCACUUCUUCCUCUAAGUCAAGUUGAUAGAUUUCUGUACAAGAUUUCAAGUGCCAUCUCCAGUCUAAGCGGUUGAGUUCAGUGAUUGUAUCGAACAAAAGCCCCCUCCCGGGGCAGGUACGCGACUGUCUCUCUUCCAAAGUGUGAUCAUCUUCUCCAAUCUCCCGUUUCCACCUAUUUAAAAUGGUCAGCCUGUGCGGCAUCAAUUGAAUUUGAAUUCUAAAAUAAAGUAGACUUUGGUGAAGGAACCUAUUCUCUGGUAUCUGCUUCGGCCAUCUCAUCUGGUUUUGGCCUUCUUUGUGAGCAGCUCCUAACUUGCUCGACGGGGUAUGAUCGCUACUGUUGAUAGGUCGAUCAAAAAAGAAUAAGUUCCAGGACUGAACAGAAAGAAAGUACUAUAACACUUUCUUCGCCAUUCUUUUCUACGAGGAGCUCUAUUUUGCUAAUACAAAUGUAAUGCUACCUCCCUACGGCGAUUCAUAACUAGAAGAACUCGCUGGCACAACCGGACCUUAUUAAAGGCCUCGGCCGUCUAAUCGACUGAAAUAUCUUAUCUUGGAGUUCUAGUAUGGGUCGUCGGCCCUUUCUCCUCCUCAGUAGGUGCAAACCCUGGUUCUGUAAAUGAUUAUAACUGCCUUGGAGCUAGAUAAGCAAACCUUCUUCUGUUUGAGUAUGAUUGAUGUUACACCCACUGCCAGAUACAAGCAAAAGCUUUCCAGCUAAGCUUGGAGUCAGAAUGAACUCAUGAAGCUAUCCUUCUUCUUGGAUCUCAAGAUUCAAAUGUAAUUUUAUCACCCCAGAUUUUGGCUUUCAUUUCCACUUCAUACUUGAGUUAAGCAAGGCACCAGCAUGGGAGAGAAGAUAGCCCCUCGGGAUCGCUUACUAGCCGGCCUGCUUGAUUUAUUUAUGAGGUAUCCAGAUGGCACUGCACCGGCGAGGGAAAGGGAAGCUGAUGAGAGGUAAGGGAAAAGUCCAUUUAAUGAAUAGGUUCACUACAGACUGUACUAUCUCUAGACCCCCUCUCUAUACACCCUCAUAAUAUAUGGAUCCCCUGGAUAAUAUUGAUCCUCCAACAACUGACAUAUCUUAUCUAAACUCUCGGAAACCUGGGCAUGGCUUUUUCGAACUUAGUUGAUUUCGCAAGAAGCAACUUGAAAAGCACAAAGACUACAUCUAAACAAACCUUACGUCUUCGUUCGGCUCAUUCUUCCUUAUCUCACCCUAUUUCCUUACUUUAGCUUAGAAGUAGGCAUAUGGGAAGUUACACAAAGAUGACUUAUCGGCUGGCCUAAGCUUACUCCAUUCCAUUCUUUCCAAUAUCAUAUACGCCUAGUGAAAUGCAUCUAUCUCCUCUCCUCCCCUUCUUUCUUUUUAUCCAUUUUAUAUACCUAGUCGAAGACUACUUCAGAUUAUAGGGCAGGCUUUUCUACCCAUUGACCGGGACCGAUCACUGUGUUUGACCGCUCUUGGUAUUCAGACCAUGGACUUUUUCGCUAGGAGCUGAUCCAUUCUUUAAGAGCUCUAUACAUAAGGAGAAGGCGUAUUCAAUUAAAGGACUGUGAAAUAUACCCUAUGCCCCGAAAAGUCUAGGCACCUAAAUAAAGUAAAGAUGGGAUCCCUGACCAAUAGAUUAAGCUAUCCAAUGAGUUAGGAACCUUUUUUCUUCCCCCUUCUCUUCUCCGCUUUGCUCUAUUACUCCUUUUGCAGAUGGUUGGUCACCACUCUUAGGCUUUUUAUUCUCUGCUUGUGGUGGGUCUCCAAUCUUGAUCCGGUGCUGACUUAAUAGGGAAACCUACCCAGAAAAUGCCCCCUUUUCCGGUCCGGUUAACAAAGCCUGUAAACCAAGAGCGGAAUGAAGAGCUAAAACGUCACCUUUACCCUUAUCCUAUUUCUUUCUUACUUGUAAACCAGACCGCGUCAUUCCUUUUUUCUUUCUUUGGUAAGGAAGGGACGGCUAUUCCCACAGGUUGAUCUUGAUAAAAUGUGCAGCGGUAAGCAACUAAUAAUCUCGAUGCAGGACUUCCAUUCCCAUAGGUUCCUCCUCCAAAACCUUCUUAGGCGAAAAAGACUAGAAGGGCUUAUUCCCACUGCUGAUUACUGAGAACCUUCUACCGGGAAAGAUUUCCUUCUAUGCCUAGUGGUUUUUGAAUUGGAAAUGGGAAAGGCAGAGAGAAUUUACUCAAAUUCAACUAUGUUAUGUAUACAAUGAUCCGGUUGCGGCUGGUAUGAUCGGGGUGCUUUAUCUAAACUAGGCAGGAUAACUUGGCUAACUUUCCUACUCUGAUAGCAUCUCUGAACGGCAAGUACCCUCAACCACCGUAACGAAGGAAUGAAUCUAUUAAGUGGGAAAGAGCCCUCGUGGCAGCUAUAUCCGCGAGGAUUCCAAGUGUUCUAAUUCAUCUCGUUACAGACCCACAUCAAACAUGCAACUGCUUGUCGCAUACUCCUGCUACUCCGACCUACGCUUCACACAUCGCAUCCUUGGUCCUUAAACGACGGUAUAUUCUUUUUUCCGGGUUCUAUGAGCGUAAAUGGAGACACUUCCCCCUUCUUUGACAUAUGAAUAUGCCUUGCCUAGAAGAUAAAUAAAUCCUGAGUAAGGAGAGAGAUUCUCCACACGAACGAACGACCCGUCAGGUUCGAACUGACUUAGGUUGGACCAGGACCCACCUAUCUCCACCAAGAAGGAAUCGCUUUGGUUACGCAGUUCAGUUGGCGAUAAAAGCCUUCCUAAUCUGCGGGCCGGUAGGCCAGCCAACUAACUCUUCAAAUGAAGAACUUAUUUCCCCACACCUAUCUCUAUGAAACUUCCUUCAUAGUUAGGAGAGGUUUUUUUAGCUUUUUGUCUCUUUUACCGCAGGAAGUUCUCUAAAAGUAUGAAAGGCCGGAGGGCUUUGUACCAACCAUUCUAGUGUGGUUGGAUUCUGUUCAACAGCCCAAGGACUUUCCGCACAUUUUUGGUUCUUUCCCCUCCUUGAAGUGAUUGCGACAACUACGAAGAAACGACGAAUCCCAACUACAGAUAUAUAAGAACCGAAACUGCUCAGAGCAUUCCAUCCGGCGUAAGCAUCUGGAUAAUCUGGAAUGCGACGUGGCAUACCCGAAAGCCCUAAGAAAUGCAUGGGAAAGAAGGUCAGAUUAACCCCGAAAAAAGUGAUCCAAAAAUGGAUUUGGCCUAAAGUUUCAGGAUAUGUCCGACCAAAGAUUUUACCCACCCAAUAGUAAAAUCUAGCAAAUAAAGCAAAACCGGCUCCCAUAGGAAGUACAUAAUGGAAAUGUGCAACCACAUAAUAAGUAUCAUGUAGAGCAAUGUCUAGCCCAGAGUUUGCUAGAACUAUUCCAGUGAGCCCUCCUAUGGUGAACAAAAAGAUGAACCCUACAGCAAAUAACAUGGGUGUUUUGUAUUGUAUCGAACCUCCCCACAUGGUAGCGAUCCAACUAAAGAUUUUGAUUCCUGUGGGCACAGCUAUGAUCAUGGUAGCUGCGGUGAAGUAGGCACGCGUAUCAACGUCUAAGCCCACAGUAAACAUAUGAUGAGCCCAAACUAGAAAUCCAAGAACACCUAUACUUAUCAUGGCAUAAACCAUGCCUAGAUACCCGAAGACCGGUUUUCUUGAAAAGGUCGAUACGAUAUGACUAAUAAUACCAAAUCCAGGCAGAAUGAGAAUAUACAGCUCUGGAUGACCGAAGAACCAAAAGAGAUGCUGGUAUAAUAUUGGGUCUCCCCCUCCUGCAGGAUCAAAAAGGUUGUAUUAAAGUUUCGAUCGGUUAAUGACAUUGUAAUUGCCCCCGCCAGUACCGGAAGUGAUAAUAAAAGUAGGAAUGCUGUCACUAGAACGGACCACACAAAAAGUGGUAAUCUAUGCAUAGUCAUUCCAGGUCCACGCAUGUUGAAGAUAGUUGUUAUAAAAUUGAUAGAACCUAAAAUUGAUGAAAUACCUGAUAGAUGAAGACUAAAAAUUGCUAAAUCAACUGCUCCUCCAGAAUGGCUGGUAAUACCACUUAAGGGCGGAUAGACUGUCCACCCAGUGCCGCUGCCCACUUCUACUAAGGCUGAGCUUAAUAGGAGCAAGAGACUUGGUGGCAACAACCAGAAUGAUAUAUUAUUUAAUCGUGGAAAUGCCAUGUCAGGUGCACCUAUCAGAAUCGGAACAAACCAAUUACCAAAUCCACCUAUCAUCGCCGGCAUAACCAUAAAAAAGAUCAUUAAAAAAGCAUGAGCCGUUAUUAAAACAUUAUAAAGUUGAUGAUUCCCACCAAGAAUUUGAUCGCCGGGUAGGGCUAAUUCCAUACGAAUCAGUACGGAGAAGCAUGUGCCCAUCACUCCUGCAAUGGCAUCGAAGAUGAAAUAGAGAGUCCCAAUAUCCUUGUGGUUAGUAGAGAAGAGCCAUCGAACCAUAUUUGUCAUUUUUUAUUUGAGAAAUGCAAACUUUCCUUAUCAAAGAGGGGCCGGAGGGCUGGAAGAGAAAAGAAAGAGGGGCCCGCCCGGGGGCUGGAAGAGAAAAGAAUCAGAAUUACUGAGCUACCCCGCUCUUUUUUUUUCUAAUUCCCUUCUAAGAUCCUCUGACUUAAACAAGUCGAGAGCAUGCUCGUGCUCAGCUCUUUCGAGACUUGCCUUGCUCUUGGGGAUUUCUUCCCAUCGGAUCCUCUGUUCCACUUCCAGGCACCUCCUUGCGGAGCUUUCCGCCUCAAGGAGAUCCCGGUUGUGGGAAACAACAUAUCUAAAGAAAACAUAUCCUCCCUCAUUCUCCCGCAGAUCUUGAUAAGACGCUUGGAGAACAGUGAAAGAAUCAGUUGCGUGAAUAUGGUCCAGAUAGGAACGAAGCGCUUCAUCGACCAAGUAGGGCUCGAUCGGUAGAUAAGGCCCUAUUCUUUGAUAAACGUAAUUCCAUUAGGAAGAGCUUAAGCCGUCCAGGUAUGUCCUCCAGAGGGGUAUUGUGAUUAAGCUCGUUCUGAAUGAACGUAACCCAUCCAGGAUCCUGCUCGUAAAGGCUCAGAUAGAAGUUUAGCCCUGCUAAAUGAGCUAGAGCUUGGGGAUCCUGAAUCUCUGGAGGAAGAGUAAUAAUGAAGGAGGCUCCGAAAAGAUUUAAAAUUGGGAGAAGAAAAAUCGAAAUAAAACACACUAAAAAUAAAAAUAGACAAAUAGAAAAUAAUAAAAAAUCGUAUAUAUAAGGAAACUUAAUACAAAAGUGCAAAUAGAAAGCAGUAACCCUGCUAGUGGAGAAGAGCCAUCGAACCAUAUUUGUCAUUUUUUAUUUGAGAAAUGCAAACUUUCCUUAUCAAAGAGGGGCCCGGGGGCUGGAAGAGAAGAACUUGAAUACUAAAUGCUGGAAGAGAAGAACCUUAAUAUUAAACCAAGUUUCGAGAACUUCUUGGUGACUUGAUUGGUUCCCUUCCCCCAAUUUGCAAAGGAUGAUUCCCGUGAAGGUGAUCUCGAUCACCAUUCCAUGAUAUUUCUGGAUGCUUUUGAGAAGCUUUUCCUUUUACCUAAUGCCGGCUACCGACAACUUAGUUCAUGCUAUUACUAACACUUAUGACUGAGCCGCACUUGCUUUCCAAAAGAAAUGGAAACUAUCAUGCCUGAGACUAGCCAAUAGAAGAAAGAGCCACAAGCAAGCCAUAGAAGCAUCCUUUUUCUUCGCUUUCUUCAACAAUAAGAAUCUACCUCACUCCUCAUCAUAACUCAAAUACAAAUUCGAGUUCCAAAUUGAUAUUUCCUCACGUAAGCAAUAAAAUGUGAAACCAAUAUUCAUCAUGAAACUUCAGACACUGAUGAUUGUGAGGUUCUGGAAGAGAGACGACGUAGGCUGAAAAAAAGUAAAUAGAAAACCACCCCUUAAACUCAUUUUCUCAACAUUCUUUCCACAACAACUAGAAAAGUGGAGAAAAUCCAAUAAGGGGAGGUCCCGGUGAAUACAAAUCAAUUGGAAACCGAACCCCGCAUUCAUGUCUCUAACAAGGCUGUCUAAGCUAAGCGGCCAUGGACCCAUGGACCCGGGGAAUCUGAACCAUUAGGUAGAGUUUCAGAUGAAAGAAAACCAGGUCAAUCUUCCGAUCGCGAGUCUUUACAAGCUUGAAACAACUUGAGCACAGGCGGGAGUCGCCCCUUUUAAAGUCAGUAUUUAUGCGGCGCUGAACUAACGAGCGGAUACCUAACCUUCGAAGGAGAAGAAAAGACGGAUGUAUCUUUCAUUCAUAUCGAUCAGAUGUGCUUUGCUCAGGACUCCCAUUUUACCAUUGCUUAAGCCAUAUUACAUAAAGCAUAGUGAGUGAUACGCAAUGCUGGUACCACCAUGUUUUUUUCCUCACUCUGUGUAGCCACACUUGUUUGUCCAUGUCUACUUAUUAUUUAUGUUAAAUAGUAUCCGUUGGUUGUAGAAGCACUGGCGUUCAGGGAUUGCAAAAUCCAUAAUAUCAAGAAGCAGUAGGAACCUGGCUAACUUCGAUGCGGAUAACGCCUGUAGAAGAAAGUGGAUCAACCAAAGUAGAUCUUGAUCAAAAGGCACCACAAGGCGACCCAAUAGAGUGUGGUGUAAGUGGUGAAGCAGAAUAGGAAUUGGAACUUCUUGAACUAGAAAGGGCUUCCGCUACCGCGCUACCUCGGGAGCUCCGGAAACGGUAUACUCGCUUCACUCAUCUGUAAUGGUAUCCUUGAAAGCUAGCUAAAGUGGGUUCUAGACAAAGUUCUCCUAAGCAGGGCGGAAGGAAAAACAAGAGCAAUAUAGCUCUACAUUACGCUUCGGGGGCCUCGUCUUACUCACUCACCUUCUACUAAUCGGACCGUGACAAAACAACCAGCCCAGCAAUAGGCAAGGACUGGCUGAAAUCCCUUUCCGGAUCCAGUCUAUCCGUAUCUGCUGUCCCUUCCGCUUUCUGUGUUGAUGGAGCUCGGUCAGAUAGUUCCGGUAUUGCGAAGGAGGGCAUCGCAUUGGGAUCGUCCAAUCCCUUCUGAUCGGUUGUCAUAUUGAAUUGCAAAUUCUCGUAUAGUAAGAGUUCCUUCGGUUUCCUACCUAGCACAUUCUCUGUUGUCUACGCCAAUAUUUUACCUGCGAGUAUAGUGUGGCUGGCUACAUACGGGGGAACUCAACCUACCUUUCGAAGGGUAGACCUUUACAGAUGAGUGAAACAAGGAUUUAGGUAUAUAAGGAGACGACCCGCCAAGCGAGCCAGCCUGAUACCGACUUUCAUUGAUAGGCCAUGAAACAUAGAGAAUGGGAACUUGUUCGCACGUACCUCGACCGCAGGUCUGAGAAUGACGAGUGUGCUUUCGCCCACAGCUUCUGUUGCUUAACCGGCUCGUGGUAUUUAUGGUCCUGACCCAGUACAACCGCUAAGCUCAUUUUUCAUUUCCAAGUGUUGUUACUAGCCUCGAGAGAGAUGUUUCACAGGAUUCACCUGCAACUGAUAAACCUGGGGGAUAAUACUGAAAUAGUCCUUUUUUUCUGAUCAUAGAGGAGCCGUAUGAAGCUAAGGUUUCAUGUACGGUUUUGCAAUAGCGGUGGGAGCUGUGAUGUUAUUAUCGACUAUGAUUAUCUAACAGUUCAAGUACAGUUGAUAUAGUUGAAGCACAGCCAAAAUAUGGUUUUUUUGAUGGAAUCUUUGGCGUCAGCCUAUAGGCUUUCUAGUUUUUAGAAUUUCUUCUUUGGCUGAAUGUGAAAGAUUACCCAGAGGGGGAAUUAGUUGCGGGUUAUCAAACUGAAUAUUCCGGUAUCAAAUAUGGUUUCUUUUCUCUUGUUUCUUACCUAUCCUUAUUAGUUUCCUCUUUAUUUGUAACAGUUCUUUACUUAGGCGGGUGGCAUUUAUCUAUUCCCUACAUAUCCAUGAUUCUCCCAGUGUAGGAAUCACACUAGUUAUCUUGACCUUGAUUCGGUCAAGCAGUUUUUCCUUACUAUACUCCAGUACGAACAGGAAAAGAAUCUGUGUACUCAACGGUGCAUUAGUAAUUAUCUGGGAUUUAUUUGGCUCUUUAAAGCAAAACGGUGUCUUGACUCUCAAGAAUAGUGCGUGUUAAUAUCCAUGUAGAUAAAGAUAGAGAUAGCAACGAACUGGAUGCAUAGUCAAACAAGAAACUUGUGACUUGUUCUCAUAGGCUAACUAACCAAAUCAUAGGAUCUAACACGAGACCGGAUAAACACCGCACCCCCGCCGCGUCUAUCUAUAUAAGCUAAUCCCUCGACCUCAACCGACUCCCAAAUCUCAAUUGCUUUGGCUCUCUCUCUCCCUCCCUUUCGCCGCGUGGGCCGUCCAAUCCGAACCAAUCCCAAGUCCCCACCCGCUCGCGGCGAGCAAAGCAAGAUGAUUUCCCCGGACGCGGCCCGCAACGUCGUCGGCAAUGUCAUCUCCUUCGGCCUCGAUGCACUGUUCGGCCUCGUCCUGUACGCCUGCUACUACAGGCCGACCCCCAAGAAGGAGAAGAGCGUAAAGCUCAAAUGUGAUUGAAGGCUCCUGGCUCCUUGACUGCAAUAACAAGUGCUAGCUACAGUAAGAACAAGGGAAUCUAGAGACCGAGACUGAAAGAAAAGGCUAGGCUACUUCUAUUCGUUAUUCGUUUCCCAUAUGAUUUUCCAUAUUUUACCAUAAAAAUAGGAUGUUUUUAGCCAUUUAUUGUUAGUACUGAAAUUAGGCAUAAAGGAUUUUACGGGAGGUAAAGAAGUUAUUUCAACAACGUUCCUGUCAUCAAAUCCUGAUUCAACAAAGCCAUGCCAGCUGUGUUGGUCGUUCCUCCGAUUCAAAGUUCUCUUGGAUUCCAAAAAGCAUCGCUACCCGCAUACUGAAGUUGCUUAAAUCUAUUGAAUUCCACCUCUGCACCUCUUUCUUGGGGCAUAGGUGAACCUAUAAUUGAUAGUAGAGCGUAUGCUAAAUCCCCAACCCUCAUGAUGCACUUCGUUUGAUUCAUUCCGCUUAUCGUACUACUUAGAGCUUUCAAACCCUAUUCUUAGCGCUGCGGUAAUAUGUUGUUAUUUAUAAAUAGGAAUGGUAUGUUUAAUACCUCGCAUAUGUGUGUUUCAGAUUCUAUAGUACUCGGUUCUUCUGUUCGACGAGUUCUUAUUUUCCUAGGUCUAAUAAUAUGUUUACUGGUUCGUUUUCACCGGAGGAGGCAGCUAGAAAUCCUGUUUUGUCAGUAGGUUGGCGUACAAGGAGCUUAAAGGUGAUGGAUAAGGCUUUCACCCAUCCGAUACUGAGUAAUCCGUUAAUCAAUCCCCAAGGGAAGGGUACUUGUAUCUAUAGCACAUUGGUGUUUCAAGCAGGCCAGCCCACUCUUAACAACAAUGCAAUCCGUCCAUUCACUCAAAACCGGAACCCACACUCAAAGUUAAGGUCAAUACUCCAUUUAUACAUACAAGCCUCGACAGAGGGGAAGCACCUACAGCAUAAUCACUCAUGAACACAUAUUGACUCACUUCUAGAUAGAUUAGUUGAUUCACAAUGCCCGCAGAUACCUAUAUAUGUUAUUUAACCUUUUUAUUGGAAUAUGUUUAUCUAAGGCAGAUCGAACUAGUCUUAAUAUAUGGAAGAUCUUGGGGACAAGGAGCUUAAACAUUAUCGAUCGACAUAUUGGCUCAAUCGGGGCCCAGGCUCUGCCCUCCGAGCACUUAAGCAUGCAUCCGGAUUCGGGCUCUGGGCUUGCUCAUCAAUAUGUCAGUGUGGCAAGUGCUUAAUGUAGCAUUCUUGUCAAGGACUUCCCAAUGUUUAAAUAGAGUCCAGGGAUCUGCAGGCUUGUAUUGGGAAUGCCAUCCGCUUCUAGCGUGUGGUUGACCGGGCUGCCAUCACAAUAAUCUAGGGUUUGCAUAUGCUCUAGCAUUCAUUCUUGUUCUUGGUCUUGCUUGUUCUCCCUGGAUCUCACUGCUUCCUUCCUACCCCCGGUAGCAAAAGUCACGAGAUUAGUUAUUUAAAACGGGCCUUCUGCCUUGGAUUGCUUUGGCCCAUUUGACUGGAUUCCCAGUAUGGCACCUUGCCCAUAAAAGCUAACUACUAACUUCGGUGAAGGAAGAAGCAAGUUCCCAAGAGAAGUGAAGUCAUCACCCUGGUAUUAGUUUGCCAAUCUAAAAGUCAAGUGAUACAGGUCGGGAUGGGAAGAAAGAAGCGAUUUCCUCGAAUUUGCUUUCGAAAAGGUGUAGCUGCAUGGAACAAAAUCCACAUUACCAGUUCUCAAUUAUGAGUAAAUUGCAGGAUGAAAGAUUCUUAUUAUUGUUAGCACCUCUACUCUACCUUUUUAGGCUAGCUUCCCAUCGCUCGAAGUACACUUCCGGUGCACUUCUUACUGGUCAAGCACUAUCGCUUGAUUUCUCUCAUAACUCUUCCACCUACUCCUUUGAGUAAAGGAGAAGAUUGUUGGAUUGAUCCCUCGAUUCGGACACUGUAGGGAGCUUCUUCAGUCAGUGGGCAAGGAAUUCUGCGGCUCAAGACUCUAAGCUUGAUUGCACAUAGGGUGAGAGAAAUCUACCUUCUACUAAGGUGAGGUGUACUGUGUGUAGGGCCCUGCUAAGUCUUAAAGACCAACUUGAGGACUCAAGCCAACCGCUGACUGACUUCUCGAUGGCCCGAGAAAAGCAAUUCGAAAACUAAUCUAAGUAGUUCCACACACAGGGCUUUGUUUGAAAGACAGAGGUAUGUUCGUAAAGGUAGGCUAGGCGCAGCGCAAUCCUUAGAAAGCAUACCUAGAUUCAAAGCCCAAUCUUUCCUUCAGCUUCCACCGCUGUCUUAUGCGGCAAAUAACCACCUAGGGAGUAGAAGUUUCUUAUUUCGGUCUUUUCCUAGUUGUCUCUAUUUCGAUUGCAUUCUAUGUCAAUAGGUUCGUUUUUGCUUUAUCGAUAACUAUCUCCUCUUGAUGGAAGAACAGAAAUCUCAUUUGAUUCGCUAGGAAUAGGAAAAAUUGGAAUAAGCAGAAGGGAGAUUGGAUUGGGACGACCAGUCGGUAUUCGAAGAUCCUUUGGGCUUAAAUGAAAUAGACUAAUAAAGACAUUCGCACAGAGCACAGAUUCGCUAACUAGUCAGGAUUCAGAUUUGGUGGAGCAUAGUUUGGAUCAGUGAUAUCAUGACCUGAGCAGGCAUCCUUCACCUUGGAAUUUCCUAUAUUAUGAACUAUCAAAGUUCACGUGGAUGCUGCUUUCUGUCUCGGAUACUGGAAUUGGCGCAACUGGAGCAAUUAUCCGAGAUGCGGCGGGCAUGUUCAUUGCGGCCUGCAGUGUUAUGCUCCCUCGGGCAAUUGACGCGACAUCAGCGGAAGAGAAACCAGUAUCUAUUGAUGGCGAGCCCGGAUAAUUGAAACAAGCAAGAUACCAUCUCUUCUUUAACCGAACUGAACAGAGCAAACCUCAACCGAUGCGGCCAAAGAGCAAGUGGACUGAACUGCUCUCCCUUACUAUGAAUAAAACGGAGAGUAGAACCGAACACUUGAAGCUCUAAUUACCAGUAUCUUUGGAUAAGGAGACCGAGGAAGAGUACCUCCAAUCUCUUUAAACACACUCUAAUUGGGGGUCCAGAUUCCAGGUCGGAACCCACGUUAUCCCUUGUUUAAGGGGAAUAGAUGAGAUCCAUGGCAUAUACCUCAGAACUAACAGAGGCAGACCCGGUUUAAUGACACCUUUCACAAUAUCAUUAACCCGAACCUCGUCCUCAGCAGUCAGAGGCGUGAUAAUUGACGCGAACGUCCCCUUAUACUAAAUAUCUUUUUAUCAAGCUAUUAUGAUGCUCGCUUCUCUUCGGUUGGAUUCCUCUCGAAGAAGGAAAUUGUGCUUCUUCAGUUUUACAUUCAAAUUAUUGUGAGUAGAUGGAUACCAGGCCUUUUCUGAGAAACUUGGUUUCGGGAACUUUGUGGGAUCCUUGGUAGAGCCAUUUGGAGCGGAGGGUAAUCGGUUUAUGACAAAGACUGUGCUUUCAAACACGACACCCAGGGGAAUGGAGGCUUUGUACAUAGUUGCAAGACGUUGCUCUACAAUGUCUCGGUGUUGACGCUCUGCGAGGCCUUGCUUCUCCUUAUCUCAUUUCUUUGGAAAGGCAAACCUAAUUGAUACGGAACUCUUGGUACAUUUCUUUUUCACUCUCGCCCCGGCGAAAGCACACAAUGCAGAUCCAUGCAUGGGAGCUAGUUCAAUAGGCCUCUCUGUGAAAUCGCCUACUUUACUUUUUAUACGAAAUUCGUUGCACGUAGAUCUUCCAUUUAUUGGGAAUUCGUUCGAAGACCGUCUGAUUCUAAUUCACUUCCAUCCUUUAGCCAUGUCUCUUGAUCGAUACCAUCCACGUGUCUUUUAUUCUUCCUAAAAAUAAAAUGCAUUGCAACUUCCUCUUUUCUGAUUUGCAUUCAAGUAGAUAAGAGAAGCUUGUGGGGAUCAUCAAGAACAAACUUAGACCAGUUCAUAUUUGCGCCUGCACAACUGAAGAGGUCAAGAGAAAUAGGCCCGGAUGCGCUCACCUUGGCCCAGGGUUGGCCCUUGAAAAGGAUAAAAAAAUAUGAGAUAGAGUGGAAUUCUUUUCGCUAUUACAUUCCCUGUAGAUCGGUUCAGCCCAUUUCUUGUAGCAUACAUUCGAAGAGAAACCAUUUAUCCAAUCUGCAGAUGUACGCUGAGAAGGAAGGGGCAGCAGACCCGACCGUUGCUCGUACUCGGUUUUCUAUGGAAGGUCUCGAGUCAGCUAAAAAACUAGAAAAUCAACAGCGGUCAAUCUCAAGGAUCAGCCCAUCUGAUCUUUUAUUUGAUUGGGAUUGCGGUUUCGCUAGGCUUACUUUCUUGAUGAGGUUUAAGGUAUAGCAAGUAAGGCGAUGCCUCCUCCCUGAUUGCAGAAAUUGUUGACUUUAGAAAAGGUUCAACAAGUACUAUAGCAAUAAAGGAGCUUCUCCAGUUCCACAGGUCAAGGUACAAUGGUAGAACUUGUCUCCUUGAAUGGCUACUUUGGGAAGAUAGACCUCUCCCUCGCUUAUCGCAUGGCUGUUAUUCCCCUCUACGAAUGCCCAAAAUCGGGUCGAUUUUGAAAAACAUUCCCUCCGGCUAUAGGCCGAAACCACGCUCAAGUGCUUCUAUAAGUUAUUUUUUACUCGAAAGCCGGUUGCUUUUUUUAUGAUAAAGCCGCCUCUACUAUGCUCGCCAUCAACUGAUACUGGUUUAGCUUCAGCGGAAGGAUGGGGAAUCAGGAGAACAUGGGGGGAGGAAGUAGCUACGCCUAACUCAAGAUCUAGGAAAUGCUUAGUAAGGUAUCCCCGGUAUUUACUGAUUCUUGCUGUCCCUAUAUAUCUGUAAUGAUCGCUCUGGCUCUGGGCCGUAUGAUCUUCGGGAUGCAGAAUAGGGGAUCGCUUGUAAAAUGGACCAGCUCCGUAUCAACGAAUCUUCUCCGUUCUUAUUUUUACCUGUUGUAUUAUUUCCUAGGAGGAAUACAAUGCUCUUCCGUUCUUUCCAAUGACAAACAGGAAGUCAGGUUUCAAAUGUAAUUCCGUGUUGGUAACUUAAUUUGGGUCUGGGAGGCCGAAGCUACCGAUCAAGCUCCAUUUUAUAGAUUUUAUAGCUCAGCCCUCUUUCUAACAAUGAAUCACUGAUUUCCCCGAUAUUUUCCUCGGAAAGGGGAAACAAGAUAUCGAUGGAAUUUACCCACACCAUCACCACUUUUGAAAGAGAAAAUAAGUGUUCAGCUGACCCAAAUUUCGAUCGAAAAAACAAAAACUUAUGGAUUGAAUGAUUUUGACAAGCGAAAUUGACUCGGAACCAAGGGGAACAAGAUGAGAUUCCAUGUUCACUAAUCGAUUCCAAAAUGAAUCGAAUUCGUGAACUUUAGAACGAUAUUACUCCUCUUCCUUAGGGCUCCCCUGUGCCUAGUGAUUUCUCGUGCUCGAUUCAUCCCAUUCGAGUAUAUCUACUCGGCUAUCCUUAGAAAAGUCAAAAGAUAAGGAGCUCAACCUGUGGAAAUCCUACUACCAUCAGCUGUCACAUUCGUUCCCACUUACCACAGGGAUGGAUCAAGUAACUGGUGAUUCUUUUCAAGGUCAGAUGCUUUUUGGGCUUAUUUUCUAAAAAAUCUUCAUUUUGAUCGAAAAAACCCGGGGUUAGGCGAAUGAGCGGGUACACUUGAUCUGGAUGCUCCAUGUAAAUUUCCUCAUCCAACUCCCCAUUAAGGAAAGCCGUCUGCCCAUCUGAUGAACGAGAAGACCGUGCGAGGCAGCCCAUGAUAGUAGUACUCGAAUGGUGGUAAAUCUAGCCACAGGUGAGUAAGUAUCAAAGAAAUGCCUACUUUUGCUGCUAUGCGGAUGGAGGACUUUUGGGCCUGGCAUUACGAGAAAUCGGGACAGUUCUCUGUCCGUUCUGCUUACCGGAUGUUGAUAAAAACGAAGCAGCGACUGGGUACCUGUGGAUCCACUAUGCAAUAGACCACUCGGGUAGUGUUGCCAUAGGCGACACGCAGAGCCCACACUGUCAGAUGGGAGAGCGCCAACAGCCUUUGGACGAUGUCAGGAACGGGGGACCUUGAAGGAUCAGGAAGAAAAACAUCUGAGCCACCGUCAGACUCAUCACCGUCGGAGCCAGCGUUGUCAGGCGCCUGAAUAGCAUGGGAUCAGUCCAUCAUCGCCCGCAGCUUCACUUCAGUUUAGUUCAGCUCAGCAUAAUAGGGAGACCACGAGGAAUGUGAGAGUACUGACAUAUGACCCAAUCGCGACAAAGCCUUGUGCUGCAACAACUGUGGCUAGGGAUAUGAGUUCCUCGGCUGCAACUUCCAAUAACUAAGCUCGCGUAAAAGUAUUAGUUAGCGGGUCUUGGUUGAAUAGUGGAUCUUGGUUGAGAAACUCAUAGAUAGAGAUUGAUCUGUUUGCUCUCUGCUUAGUGGUUUCUUACUCGGUCUCCUCAUCUGAAUAGAUGGUCGCACGCUUCAACUAGAAUCCAAACCAUAGUAGAAUGGGGGCUCAAAAGGAAACUUCAGAGCUGGAAUAUAUAAUCUCCAGUAGUACACUUAGCCCUUCGGCCUUAUUUCAACUUGAACAUGAAUUUGCAGCACAUUUUGGCGUUAUUAUAUUAACAUAAGCAUUGAACACUGACGGCUAGCCCAUACAUGCAAACACAAGAAAUCAAACCAAACAAAGACACUUAGCAUAGGAGUAGAUCGGAAUCAAACUAAGACAAAGAACACCUGACAUGAAAACAAAUGUCUCCAGACACUUAUUGAAUUUAAACCAACCUUAGAAAACUAAAGAGUCUACGGACUCUUCUAUUCUAGCAAGAUGCUAGACGAAUAAAGAGCACUUGCUGCUCCACCCGCAGCGCUUCCUGCCUCUCCUCCAAUCCCUCUAUGCGCUCUCUGGUAGCGCGAAUGCGCGCUUCUUUCUUUGCAGGAUCCAUUGUUCUAACACUUCUCAACUGGUUGUUUAGCACUCUACGGUGCCCUUCAAUCUCAUUUUGCAGUUGCUCCGUUUCGGUAGCAAUUGCAGAAAGCCUGUUUGCGGUUGCAGCAUCCAUAGCAAUGCGUGCUAGUACUCAAUUUCUUUGCGAUGAAGUGAAGAUAUCUAUAUACCAUUUAUAGAGUGGUAGAGUAAUAUCGCCAUGCAGUAUGAAUUGCAUUGGUGCAUGCAGCCUUUAUGAACAAACAAACUUUGCAUAGCCAUUUCACCUAAUCGAUUCCGUCAGCGGAUCAUCCACGUCACGAAAUGAAUGGCAGGCACAAUUCUUACUAGUUCUCCGCCCUACUUUUUUCAGUUGAAGACUAUCAGGCCUGGAAAUGGAAACUUUGGACCCGGGAGACGGUUUGAUGUCUCGUACAUAGCCAGCCCAGGGCGCUGCCCAUAAGGGUCACUGUAUGUAGGUUUUCAGCUCUAAGGUCCCCACUCAUCACAAUCGUUGGCCCUCAUCCCGCAUUGGAGCAUAGCGUUAGUAUCUUUCGGUGUAUCAACAACAUAGGCACCUGAUCUAUUUGAACUUUAAACUACGAGGAAGUUUUCACAUAAGCGGCCUUUCUCCCGUUAAAAGGUGGGUACCUUUCCCUAAAUCCUUCUCCCGUGCAUGCUAUUCUCCUGUUCCCCCGAAGGGCAGUAUCAAUACGGCAACCCGAAAGCUCGUUAUCAAAGUGGUCUCUUCUCAAAAGCUUAUCUGCCAGAUGAAAACAAGUUCGUAGUAACAGGUGGCCGUUGAGCUCCUAGUUUGAUUGUUGGUGCCAGACUAGAAUGGAAGAAUGCCCAUAAUACUGAAAUGCAGAAGAAUACCUCACUAAUAAGAAAUAGAGCUACACCCAUUGUGCUUCCUUUCUUUUACUAGAGAGAGUAGUCCAAGCCUCUAAAUAUCUUGAGGGCUUUGUGUUGGAUCUGAUGGUUGAGCCUUUGUUCUUUGCGAGCCUUGCCUUUCUCUUUUUUUCUAUGCUGUGGAGUUCUUUGAUGGUCUAUCUUCGCACCUGGCGCUUCUGGCGCUUUCUUCCUUCCACCUUCCUCUUGUACUCGACUCUUCCCCGAUCACUCCCCAACAAAGGCUUGCUCGUCUUCGUCAUAGUCCAAACUCUUUCUCGUGUGACUGUGGUACUUUCUUGAGCGAUGACUUGGGAGGGUUCCGGUCACCCCUACCCGGGCAGACAACCUCCCUCAUUCACAUCAGAAAUGGCAAAGAUUCCAUUUUGGAAAGUCAAUCUCUUUUUGUAUAGAUAUAAAAUAGCAAAAGUACGGUUCGGAAUCUUUUCUUUCUUAUUUGAAAUCCAAAUCGAAAUGCCUCAACUUGAUAAAUUAACUUAUUUCUCACAAUGUCUUCUCCUCUUUACUUUUUAUAUUCUCUUAUUUAAUAAUAAUAAUGGAAUACUUGGAAUUAGUAGAAUUCUCAAACUACGGAACCAACUGCUUUCGCGCCGGGGGGGGGGGCGAGAUCCAGAGCAAGGACCCUAAGAAUCUGGAAGAUAUCUCGAGAAAAGGUUUUAGCACCGGUCUCUCAUAUAUGUACUCCAGUUUAUCCGAAGUAUCCCAAUGGUGUAAGACCGUCGACUAUUUGGGAAAAAGGAGUAAAAUCACUCUGAUCUCAGAUUUCAGAGAAAUAAGUGGCUCACGAGGAAUGGAGAGACAAAUUCUCUAUUUGAUCUCGAAGUCCUCAUAUAACACUUCUUCCAGUUGGAUCACUUGUUGGAAAAACAUAAUGCUCACACAUGUUCCACACGGGCAAGGAAGCAUAGUAUUAUGAUGAAAAUGAAUGGAAUACUCGGCAGAAUAGGAAUAUUCCUAUUAAUGAUUGUGACAGCGUUUAUAGGAUACGUACCGCCUUGGGGUCAGAUGAGCUUUUGGGGAGCAACAGUAAUUACAAGCUUAGCUAGCGCCAUACCAGUAGUAGGAGAUACCAUAGUGACUUGGCUUUGGGGUGGUUUCUCUGUGGACAAUGCCACCUUAAAUCGUUUUUUUAGUCUCCAUCAUUUACUCGCCCUUGUUCUUCCUUUUGAUUUAAACGUUCUCCCUCGGGAGCUGCAGAAUUCUGGCAGGGGCAGCCCCCUUUUCCAGAUCAUGAAAAUGUGGUGGAGAGUGAUGAUUCAUCAACUGAUUCAUCAGGGAGUUCAUCUGAUGAUUCAUCAACUGAUUCAUCAGGGAGUUCAUCUGAUGAUUCAUCAACUGAUUCAUCGGAUCUCGACACGGAUUAUGAUGAGCUAACUGAUGAUUCAUCAACUGAUUCAUCAGGGAGUUCAUCUGAUGAUUCAUCAACUGAUUCAUCAGGGAGUUCAUCUAAUGAUAUGGACUGCUCUGAAGGAACACCACCCCUGAAGGGAAUGAAAGCCGUCUGAUAAUCUUUCUAUAGGUUCCCCGAAGAGAAUGGAAAAAUCACAGAAACACUUUCUAUAUGUUCUGUUAUUUCGAGAUUCGAAGAAGCAAGCAAGUUUUUCAUAUAGUUGUUUUUGUGUAGUGAUCUCUAUUCAUGGAGAUCACGAGGCCACUGAUACCCCAUGUGGAUAGGUGGGAUAGAAGAGUGGGCAUGUGGGCUUCUAUCAAAAGAGGAAAAGAUACCGCCACGCUCAUAUCUCCCUUCUCACCUCUGGGAGGGGGAAACAUGCACUUUCGCACUAGAUGGUUAACUCUAAGUUUUUUCUGAAGUAGGUUGUUCAAUGCUAGUUCAAUGAUUGAGCCAUCUUCCUAUCACCAAUAACAAAUGGAUAGCAUGCGUUGUGCAACCAAUCCUACCCUCAGUUGUAGUAAGCUGAGUGUGAUCCGCAGAGAGCAAAGUGUGUAUCACAUGAAUUUGAUAGCUCAGGCCUUGGAAGGACCUUUUUGGCACUAGACAGACUCUUUAAUAUCGAUGGCAGCAACUAUCCAUUUUCUCAAUCAGAUUACUGCGUGUGCGCUUGUGUGCUCCAAUCUUUAGUAAAUAAAGCAAAGAUUUCUGAGCUAAGAAUCAGAGGAAAUGCUCUGACUCAAAUCCAGAUACAAUUUGAUAUGUCGGAGACCUGUGUGACUCCCUACAUGUAUUUGAAGAGUCCCUCAGGAUCAUAUCACAAUAAAUUAGACUGGUCAGGAUGCUCCAACUAACAAUCUAGAAUCCAUACUUGAUAGGAUCAAGAAUAAAAAACAUGAUAUCAAGAAUAGCAUAUUGAAAGAUCCCAAUCAUUUUUCUUGAUAACUUCUUCAACCUAUGUAUUUUUCGUAUAAAUUGGAUCAAUUAUUAAUAAAAUAUGGAGCAAACAUAGGUAUCAGAUAUCAGGAACAUAAGCUUACCCGGGAGAAAUGCACUCUGUGUUAGUACGAUCACUUAGCUUUUGCUUUCGCACUCCCUACUGAUGCCUAUUGCAUGACUCUCAUUCAGUCAAACUAGAAACUGUGUUUACAGCUGGAACGAUGAAUGUAAUCCUACUAUUCUGGAAGGGUAGGGUCGUCUGAGUACGGUACUAUGGACAUUAGGGCAUAUUGAAUAUAGUCAUAUAAUUUGGUGUGCUGACACACCUAGAAAGGUUUCUACCUACGCAAGGAAAAUGAAGAAAGCAAGCCAAAUACUGAAAUGUAUUAAGCUAUCGAUCGGGGGACAUAACACUAUGAGGGCUGUUAAGGCGGGGCUAGGAGCUUGAUAUGCUGCCGACUCAGAAUCAAAUGAGCACAGGGGACCCUAGUCAACAUUCAUAUUUCUACCCACCGGUGGAUGAUCGGUCACCUUAGUUCCAAUUUAGCUACUGUUCAUUUUGUUGAUCUCCAAGAAGGACCGAUUGCUACGUACUCUUGAGAAACAAGAUGUUACGACGCCGCUGUGCCCGCGGUCCAAUGAUCCACCUAUGUUUGUGUCGGAUCUUAUCCAUGCUGCAACCAGGCCGUGGAAUAUGGAGGUGGUCAGAGAACAUAUGUAUGAGAUGGACGCCGAAGCAGUAGCGAACAUUCCCAUCAGUCAUGUUGCCCAGCCGGAAAGAAUGGAAGAGGAUUUUUUGUAUCACAUUCGUACUGACUUAACAGGAUCCGUCUCCCAUAGUAAUAUUAUGACAGUCUCUCUUGCCCCUUCGUACUUACUUGAAACAGGAAUUUCUUGGUGCUCAACUGCUUAUUCUGCUUUUCCUGGUACCGGUAUAGAUAGAUAGAAAGCGCAUUCAAUCGAGAAAAGGAUCAACUGAUCCACCUCUUUACUUUUUGGUUUUUAUUCGGCUGUUUCAGCAUAGGUUGCAUUUUAAAACAAAAGAAAAGAGCAAGUUCCCACAGGCGAAGAGCUGCUUCCGAGAAAUCUUUUACCCCCUUUACGCCCUUCAGGGCUGCUAACAAUGAGCUAAUACACAGGAACGGCACGGCUCCUACACCGCUUAACUCCAAUAAUAGAACCUGGUCCCACAUCCCUUGCAUUUGAUAAUGAAACAAUCAGAAUUUGUUGAAUUGAAAUAUGUUCAAUCUCAUUUCUUUUACGUGGUUUUGGAAACUAUCAAUUAUCUCUUUCCUCGGCUUCCUACACGGAUAUAGCCGUAAACGGUAUCUAGUAGGCAACCUGGGAACUACAUUAGCUUAGGGGGAUCGGGUAGCGAGCGCUCUCCUCGGCAAAGCAGACAAGAAGCAAUUCCACCAUUGGGAACGGCACGCCCCCUUCCCUAGGGCUAGAUGUAUUUACAUGCUGCAUUGAACCUAACGCUAGAGCGAGUACUACGAUGAAAAUCACUUUUACGAGCGAUACCUUUGUCUUUGGUGCUUGAGUUGUCCUCCCAGCGGUGUGGUCCUCGGUUUCGGAAAUGACAUAUUGAACCAGUAUCUUUAGCAUAUAAAAAAUCCUUUGUUUGACGGCAUCCCUCCUCUAAAGCUGCUUCCUUCCUUUCCGGUUCGUAGUGGUUACGAGCAGAAGUGCAAUUCAAAGCGCAUUCCAUAGUUGUAUUAGAUAGUUUAGAUAUAGUGACCCGCUAGUUCGAGAUGCACUGACCUUGGCCAUUGCCUGCUAACUACGGUCAUUAUAUGUCAAUUCGGAUCACACACCGGAAGCAAAGAUCAGGGGUUUGCCAACUUGAAUGAAUGUAAUCCGGUUACGGUGUAGGGGAGAUUUAUUAUUGAGUUGAUAACGCACUCUGUUUACUAACAUUGAGAACUAUGCCAUGGAAUGGAAUAUUCCCAUUUCCGAUUGUUGAAAACAAAUGCGAAUUUCAAAAGGCACAUCAAAUGUAUGGACACAACGAUUUGCCCACGGAUUCAUUGAUUCAUUAGCUGCGCUGCUUUUGUGAGUUCCACUGGCGUGAAACUCCGAAGGGAGAGCCCGGAGGGAGCUUAUUCAUUCCUUUCGUGGCUUGCCAUGGUUAUUUCCUUGCCCAGGGCACAGUCUGGUUAUCUGUUUUGUGCCUCAUCGGGCACCCAAGGGUUUCUCUUAUGAAUGGUGCGAUCCGGCAUCCUUGAAGCUCGGAACUCCUCUCUGGAAUUUUGACCAUGAAAAUGCCAUUUACCCUUAGCAAUGAAGAAAUCUAUUGAACAAUCUGUUUCAUUGCAAUAGCUCGCUCUAACAACUCCUAUUCCCACGGCAUUACCACAAGGAUUUCCUGUUUCCCCGAUCCACCAGCUACGUUCGCACACUUCCAAAUAGUAAAUGCUCCCGCGGUUGGAGUUGAGACUUUCUUAUCCCUCUUGUUACGACGGAUCGAGCAUAUGAUUCUUUUCUUGAUUGAAAUCAUUCACUUUUCCUUGAAAUCAUCACAAAGUAAUUGGAAGAAGAAGUGCUUGAGAAGCUCAUGGAUAUAUUCUAUGGUGGCUUCUCCAAUAGUUCGAGCCAUAGCUUCAUUUCAUUGUUUCUAUAAUUUUCUUCACUUUAUCAUUGCCCUCAAGUACAAGUAAUUUCUGACAAACUUUCUUUCCCAUGGUUCGGGUGGGCACGGAUAUGGAUGGCAGGACAGGAGUGAAGAUCCCUCAGCUAAGGGCUAGACCGGACGUUUCACUGUCUAAUGACGAGUGGCACACAAAUCAACCUGAGAAGGAUUCUGCUAUGUCAAAAGUGUUUAUAUAAAUGAAUUGUUUAACGCCAAGAUGCCAAUAGCUAUGAUGGAUAAAGCAACUCCCACGAGUAGGGCUCGAAAGCCGGGGACUCUCCUGGCAAAGAAUCUGAACGAUCUGAGUUCUUUUCUGAGAAAGAAGAAGAUGCAAGGCAUGGAUCCAAGCCUGAAGGCGACGUGGAGUGUUAUUAUUAUUUUCCAAUAUUUGAAGGGGCCAGGUCUUGGAUACAAAAGUGUGAACAUUACUUUUCGGUGUACCAAGUUACGGAUUGGUACAAGGUAGAACUUUCGGCUAUGCACCUUAGGGGAGAGCUGAAAGCUGGUACAACAGUUUCUUAGUGAAUAGGGGACAAGUAUCUUGGCAAGAGUGAAUUCAAGAGAUUGUAGAAAGGUUUGAGGUAAGAAAUGUGGUUGGUGUAGUUGAUGAGUUUAAUCACUUGAGGCAAAGAGGAAGCCUAGAAGAGUACAAGUCACACACAAUUGGCAGAAUUGAGGGCUGCCAUGUUGAGGUGCAAUCCCUAUUACGAUGACAACCUUUUUCGACAAAGUUUUCUUGGGGGUAUUGUAAAUAGAGAUAGAUGUUUCGUCCGGCUCUGAGAAACAAUCGGCAACCCCGCUCUUCCCUUUGCCUCUUCCACAUCUAUUUUUGAAACUUGAUUCGGUUGAGUUUGAAGCAAGGAUGUAAUCAAAUAACGCUUUGUUCUCCAAUGAAUGGAGGUGGAAUAAUUUAUUGAGAUGGAGAAAGCUACAUCUCGACUUUAUUUAAAUGAAAGAAAAAGGUUAGUCCUGCUCCUAGACUUCCAAUUCCAAGUAGUAGUAACGGAAAGGAACAGGUUUAGGAGAACUUUUUUUAUGUCUUUCUUAUAGCGAUCGCUGAAAGUCAGUCAAUGCCCUGGCUUCAAUGAAUGAAGACCGAUGGGCUACGAAGUGGAGAUGUUGUCGUCGUGUCAUUGCUCGUGAUGUCUUCACCAAGAUUUGACUUACCAAUGUGAAAGGUACCGUGCCAGUGGUUCUAUCAUUUAGAUAGAGAGUGAUCUUUCCUUCUUGUCGAAGAAAGAUAUGACGUUGGGAAGGGAAAGGGAGUAGAAACGUUUUCGUAGCCUUGGGGCGAAGGGCUGAGAGUUCCGUGAUCCAGUUCUUUGAGCAUACAUAGGUUGAGGAUGGAACUCCUAUAGCAAUCGAUGUGGAAAAAGGCAACAACCGAGAAAAGCAGAAAAAGCGAGUGAGAUCUUGACUUUCUAUUAUCAUACAACAUAGAAGUAUUUAAUCAAAUCAGAAAGAGCCCUGGGAUUUGACCAAACGGCAUAAUUGAAAGCUCUCGUCUCAGUCGCUCGCCUAAUAAAAGGUACCGGGUUGCUCCGUGAUGACGAAUAAGCAACCCAGCCCAAUCCUUGCUUUCAUAGAAAAAGGUGAAUUUACUCGAAUAUUCGUUCAAUGACUCAAUAUUUAGUAAUCAAAUCAUGCAUUUGUUAGAUCAUUUAGUGAUAAAUAAAACGAGAAUAAAGAGAGAGUCCUCACCUCAAUAUCGACAACAAUGACCUGGCAAGUGAAGUAAAGUAAAAGCAAAGUAGAGCCCGGUUGAUGUCAAAUGUUUUCAAAUCUUACCCACCAUAUCCAUUCAUGCACGUUACUAGAUGAAAAGUAAAAAAUAAAGCAAAUGAUGGUUUUUAUCAGAGCCACUUUACAACCGGUUUAGCAACUUCUUCAUGCCCCUACGAACGAAAUAUUUGGAGUUUGACAACUGGUUGACGCCGGUUGAUACUCGAAUGAAUAUAUCGCCGGUAGAUACUUGCUUUUCUAAUGAGGUAGACACUUUUGUAUGUUAAGGUUUCCACUUCAAACCAUCCAGAUUUACACUUCAAUUUCUCGUUGUUGACACGGUUUACACUUGACUUCAUUCAAACUAACACUUAUGUAUCUAUCUAGGCGGGCGGGCACUUAACCAAACUCAGGUUGACACAAACUAUACAAAAGUCUUAAUUAGGGUGUUUUUUUCCGAUCAACCCAAAACUCCGAAUAGAACCGAACCUGACUAGACCUUUUCCCAAGCAACUCCGAAUACUGGAAAAUAUGAAUAAAAUUCGAUAAGAGAAAUUAGAGCAUGUUUCUAAAUUUGUGAUAACUACUUAUUUAUGAGUGCGAAAUGCUUCAUGCGAGCACCCUUGGCGGCCUGCUUUUGAGACAGGGAGGCCAUGCUCGUAUCUAUGCUUUUCAUCAUUGGUCUGGUCUACUCGUACCCCACCCCACAAGGUACAUCUUCGACUACCGUGCUUCUUAUCUUGACGCUAUACAUUCAGUUUAGUUAGUCCCAGAGACUUAUCCUUCAGAAAAAGGUAAUCCACCUAUAUUGGACUUUUCUUCACCUGGCCUCGUGGAUUCAAUACCGAAUUCUCUUCGCAUACCGGCCUGCUAAUUUCGGGAUUAGCUGUUCUCAAUGACUGGUGGAUGCCUCUUUUCUACCUUAGAAAUCGUUUUUUAUGUACCUUCUCCCUCUCUACACCUUUUUUCCGCCUCGCCGCCCAGAAAGACCUAUAGAAGAAGGAAGAAUUCAAUCCGUAUACUCCAAGCGCCGUAACUAUCGCACUUUCCAUGCAACCCUCCAAUGAAGAAUGUGCAAUUGAAACAAUCAAGAACGGAAAAAGAAUUAGACUCCCUCGUCAAUUGUUUGGAUUGGAAUUAGGCUCCUCUACUCUAGUCGUCCUCUUCUAUUUCGGGCAGUAGCUCAACCCGUUCCGGGCCUUCCUUUACUGAAUCUAUUAGUAGUUGCACUUUUCGACAUAUGCCUUUAUUUAGGCAUUGGUUGUAGGCAUCCCCUUCUCUUCAAGGAAUUUCUGCGCCCGGUUCCUGAUCAAGUGUUGGAAAAACCGGAAUAUGAUGCUUUCUACUUCAGCAGUAGGGUUGGCCUGAAGCCAGCCCAUAGAAUAGAUACGGGCGUGUUCUACACUGGAGUUCUUGUAGAACAUGUUCAAAUCAAACCUCUUUCCCUUCGUCUCCGGUUUUCAAUACGAACAAGUGUCAUCCUCUUCUCCCAUCGUUUGGAUGGAAUACCCACGUGGAGCUGACCUUCACUUUUCAGAGACAGGGGCAAGCCGAUAAUUUGUAGCCUCCCUGGUUGUUUUCUGGAAAUUUCAGUAGAAGUGAAGCCCUAUAGGAGCUCCCUAAGGACUCUAGCUAAGACCUUUUUGAUACCCUGGGUGACUCGCGUGGACUUAUCCCCUCUCGGUAAGCCGAAGACCAUAUCGUCUGCGUAGCGUGCGUAAUAGAAGACUACGGCCCCAUCCUCUCGGACCAUUACCCUUUCAAGCUUGGCAUCCAAUAUAUGGAGAUAGCAGUGAAUGAGGACAUGUUCAAUCGGGCUUCCGAGCGGUAUUCCUCGCUUCUGGCACAUGUAACUCUUACCUUUUCUAUCUACGUGUGGUUUUCAUGAAAACCUAUUUUAUCAACCUAUGGACUCCUUUCAAUGACAGAGUCUUUGGAGCAAAUUGGUUCAGGAUUCUAAGGUUAGAAAAGAGUUACCACUCAAGGGAGGGACAGGAUAUGUGGAAGGCUAUCCUGGUGGCUCAAGACUGACCGGUAUACCUGGACCAGUCUAUAUUGAGCCAUAUUCAUCAAUUCGUCAGGCAAUUUGGCCUCACACAAUGUAUCCAUGUUCCACCAGACGCUUAAUCAACCCUGGAACACAAGAGAACCCUUCUUAUCAAAGAUAAUUGCGUAUUAAAUAGAUGAGAGAAAUAUCCCUAAAUAUGUGCAUCGAGUAAGUCAUUACCUUCUAUUCGAUCUCCAGUAUCGCUCAUCAAGUACUUGAUCAGAUUCCUCUUUUUUCUUGCAAUUGCAAAGUGGUGGAAAAAAUUUGUAUUUCGGUCACCAUGUCGUAGCCAAUUGGCUCUGCCCCGUUGGAGCCAUGCUACUUCUUCUUGUUCAAACAGGUUCUCGAGCAGCAGUCAAAUUGACUUCCCCUACUUGAGCGUAAUGCCCGCCCCUGGUGUGGUGGAAAAAGCCUCAUUUUCUAUUCCUUUUAAAGCUGCUGAUGCGAGCUACCGAACAAACAAGAUUAGUACAAAAAGCCACAACUAGCACUAGCUUUCGUGAUUGCUUCUUUCUACCUUUCUCACUCCGGUAAUUGCUCCUUCUCCAAAAUAUCACUACGGACAAGAUGAGCUAAUAGAAAAAGUUAGGGCAACAGAUGAUAGCGACUGGCCAGACUCGAACUGGCAUAGGCAGAUCAGAUCAAACAAAAUUAGCCUUUCCUCCAUCAACAGGAAUCGCUUUGAUUUCGUAGUUCAAGAGGAUGGUGGGGGCAACCUCUCUACAUCCGCGGGCCGGUAGGCCAGCCAACUAACUCUUCAAAUGAAGAACUAAUUACUCCACAUCUAUGAACCUAUCAUUCCCCGCCAUUGCACAUUAUUUCUUUUUGUAUCACGCUAGGACUUUGCCUCUUUUUUGGAGGAAAAAUAUGGAAGUAGAAUCUCCUCUCUUUUAGAGGCGUCUUCCAAAUCCAAUUUCAGAUCAAUGAGGUCUUUCAGAGAGCCGCUGCUCUUUCCAUGAAAUUCUAGGAUCUCUUCGAUUCUAUGCACAAAAGCAAGGUGUGAGCCCGCGACCCCUCGAUCGCUCUCACAGUCAAUCGGCCCAAACCGGGGUAUGAGCUCAACAAAAAAAAACUAUUUUGUGAAAUUGCCUGCAAAACCGCCUUGCGAGCGUUAGCGUCAGCGUCAAUGCCAUCUCCCGAUUGAUAUUUUUUGCGCAUCUCCAAUAGCGCCUUGGCCCUAUUUUCUUCUUCUUCUAUUGGGGAAGAAGAAGAGGUGGAGUAGCAGGCGGAUCUCAUCCCUCCUGCGGACUUCCCCGUACUCAAAGUGACUCUGAGAGAUUGCGCUUCUCUACUAGUCGCAUUCUGUUCAAGAAUCACUAUUUUCAUGAUUGAAUGACGAAAUAGAUAUACGAACUGUAUAGGAUCAUUUGCUGGGAUGGGAUAAGUGAUUCUUUUAUAGGAUUCCCAUGGGAUCGUAGAAUCAACUAAGGAUGGAAUAGGUAUUUGUGAUCGAUCAGCCUCCAGUAUGACCGAAGACUUUCUAUUUGCAUUCAGAAUAACCACACAAUCAGGUUGUUGGUUCAACCCAAAAUUGAUCUUCUUCUUUCUUGAACGGAAUUUUUUUAUUUGCAAAAGAAUUGGUCAAAAACGUCCCGAUCUUCCAUCGAGAAUCAUCGAAACAAUGAGAAUUCACAUUUCUUAAAUAGCUCGCCAUUUCUUUCGUUAUCUCAUAAAUAAAUAAAUGACUGGUCUUUAAAAAGAAGGAACGGCCUUUUUGACGACUGGGAGAUCCUAUAAAAUGAAGAGCAUUUCGUAAACAAAUCAGUUUCUUGUCUGAAUCGAGAAUAGCAAUUCCAUUUCUUGAACCACGGAUAUAGACUUUGAAAUGGUGAUCAGCUACCCGACGGCCGAGAUGUGCAUUCGUACAAAGUAAUUUAGUACAGACUAUCGAAAGCAUUGUCAUUUUGCGAUUUGAGUUCCGGAGAUACAGGUGGUAAGUUAUGGGUAAUGCGGGGGAACUUUAAGAUGAGAUAGAAUACCUAAUAUGGGAGUGGUUUAAGUGAGAGAAUAGCUCCCUUACCAAACCAACUGAGCUAUUUGCCAUGUUUUUGACAAAUGACCUAACUUUGAUGUGAUGUUCCCGGCUAGCCUGGAUCAUUCUUAGAGCAGUCGAGGUUACCGGAAUUACGGCCUUCCGUACAAGAACUGGCACUAUUGUAACUCGCUAUGGGCCUCCUGCCUUCUCGAAAGAAACUGGCUUUUGAAGAAAUUACUCUAUUUUACGCAUUUAGUUGAAGCGGAUUCAAAGAGCUCUAUCGAGCAAGGAAGGAGUAUACUAUACUGUAGCUGGAUAAGCUAGAUACCAAAACUUUGAUAAAGAUUGAGGCAACCCAUUUGAGGAAGAACCGGACGGACCCCUGUGGAGAUGGCAUAAACAAUCCUUUGACGAACUUUCUGGUUAACAUAGAAUCUAUGAGUUUUUUCUUCUAAUUACUACUACUAACAUUAUUCAAUCUGGUAAAAAAAUUUAUUAAGCUCAUCCCGCAAGCACAUGUACACAUCUUGGAUUUGACCGUCUUAAGAUGGAAGAAGAUUCGUUCUCCUACCCAUUUCUAAGUUAAGCAAGAGAUAACUCAUAAUUUGAUAUGCACUCGCACUCGCAUCUUGGGUCACUGGAACCUGAUGAUAAUUACUCACUCCUUCAUCCUAAGAAAGGAUCUUGGCUAUGAAAAAAAAUGGAUCACUAGCUUGCACAGCAAAUUGAAUGAAACUUUUGUCCGAAGUAAACAUUUCAGUCUGGUGUUCGUUAUACCAUUUAAGGGCAUCAUCUAAGUUCGAGAACUUUGGAUACUUAAAGACUGCAGCACAUGCUAAGUGUUGAAUGAGAUUCUUUUUUUCCGACAGGUGGUUUUGUGCUUGAGGUUGAGGAUGAUCGGCAGAAAAGAGUAACAAACUUUUUGACAAAUCACGCUCAUGAAAAUGCAAUACACCUGAACGGUAGAUUCUACCACGGAAGUCCAUGAAUGCUGGCAAAUAGAAUUGAUAACCUUCGUAUGUUGACGCAAGUCUUAUUAAAAAAUCUUCAUAACUAGCCUGCUGCACCUGUUUCCAUAAUUUAUUUAAUAGUAUGUUAUAGCUACAAGCAUUCUUAAUACCUUUGACGUUAUUGAAGUAGCACUCCCUCAAUAUGUCUGAGGCUUCUGUCGGAUUCACGCGAGCCAGAGCAUUUGGUAAAAGAAGCCCACACUCAACUAAACAUUGACGAUUCUUUUCCAGAAAUCUCAAGAGCCUUUUGUUUAUUUCAAACGCUUGAGACUGAAGCCCAUUCAAAAUAUCACACAUCUGCUUGUAUUCUUUUUUAUGUAACUUUAUAUAGAAGUGGUUUAAGUCAUGGGAAAUUAAUAGCUGAAAGUGAUUCUAGAUAUCCCCCGUCGGUUUGCAUAAGUAACCUCCUAUCAGAUCCGAUAAUGUAUCAGGAUCAGACCCCCUCUCUGCUGGUUGCCAAUCCAAGGGUUUGCAAAGCAUCGGAAGAUUGAGUUUGAUAGGGAGCAUAUUUAUGUUCAAAUUGCACAUAACAUAACAAGAAUUCUCUAUAUACCCUUGACCUUUCUUAAGAACCAGCACUGGAUCUUCUUUUGUUACUCCCCUAUCUGUUGAUAUAUGUAGAACAUUUCUUUCAAUCAUGAAUUGGAGCAAGUAUUUCCCGAUAUCAUAAUGACACUGCAUUUUUUUCUUUUUCCCUUUUUUGCUAGCACCUUUGGGCUGAACAACAUCCUUAACUGAUUCUACCUUACUAGUGAGUACUGCUUCCACCUUACCACUACCUGGUGCUUUGUAUUGUAGAAACCUUGCUUGUUCUCGUACAGUUGAAUUAAGUUGAUUUAUAAAUCUAGCUGCCCUAACUACGGAUGAUUCCUGAAGAGUGUUGAAUACCAAGCCUAGUACAUGAAUCAUGAUAGCCUCAAGCGUAUAGAUACCAAACAUCUUAAGCUUAGGUAAGCUACUUGGUAGGCAACCCUUUAGAUAUUGCUUAGCGUUAGGCUGAUCUUUAUUAAUCAAGAACUUUACUAUGUUAGGAGUUACUUUGAAUAGAUUAUCCUCAUCGAACUUCAUUGUGCAAUUUGCAAUUUGAUUCUGUAAAUCUAUUAAUUCAGUAUCGGAAAACACACCAUUUUGAUUCUUAUUUUCAUUAAUCAACAACUUUCUAACAUCAUCCUGAUACAUAUCAACAUUAGAAGUCUUUUUCGUUUUGUCAAUAUCCAACAGCUUAGCGUAGUAAUCGUUCCAGAACUCCUUAAUAAUGCGUGCAUUUUGCAAAGAUUUCUCAUUCUCAAUGCUAUCAUCAUAUGUCUUGGAACAAUAAAAUAGAACCUGCAUACUUUUAUUUGUUACCCUAAAAAAACCGCAGUAAGGAUACGAAUACGACUGAAAUAAACUACUAGAAUCUAAAUAUAAGGAAAGGAUCAGAAUAAGUACUAAUGCUCUAUAUAAUACUUUUCCCCGAGCGAUGGUUUAGCGGAUUCGGAAUUGUAACCAAGCAUCCUGGGUUCUAUACCCGAUUCAACACUAGAGCAUGCAGCCGAUCCUGGAUACAUAACUCUAAAAAGUGUGUCUGCAGUUUUGGAUCUUUAUUGGUAGCUAGUCUUUCACUUCUGCCUCUCCACUCCCAUGCCUUUCUUGGUCGGACCAACCCAACCGGCGAUUUCCGACAAGUCUUUCUGCUUAGAGCAAGAAGCGGAACCAAAAUAAAGCUUUCUUUAUUUUCAUUUAUGGAUAACCAAUCCAUUUUCCGAUAUAGCUGGGAGAUUUUACCCAAGAAAUGGGCACAAAAAAUGAAAAGAUCGGAACAUGGGAAUAGAUCUCAUACCAAUACUGACUACCCAUUUCCAUUGUUGUGCUUUCUAAAAUGGCAUACCUAUACAAGGGUUCAAGUUGCGAUCGAUAUUUGCGGAGUGGAUCAUCCCUCUCGAAAGCAAAGAUUUGAAGUUGUCCAUAAUUUACUGAGUACUCGGUAUAACUCACGCAUUCGUGUACAAACAAGUGCAGAUGAAGUAACACGAAUAUCUCCGGUAGUCAGUCUAUUUCCAUCAGCCGGCCGGUGGGAGCGAGAAGUAUGGGAUAUGUCUAGUGUUUCUUCCAUCAAUCAUCCGGAUUUACGCCGUAUAUCAACAGAUUAUGGUUUCGAGGGUCAUCCAUUAUGAAAAGACUUUCCUCUGAGUGGAUAUGUGGAAGUACGCUAUGAUGAUCCAGAGAAACGUGUGGUUUCUGAACCCAUUGAGAUGACCCAAGAAUUUCGCUAUUUCGAUUUUGCUAGUCCUUGGGAAAAGCGUAGCGACAGAUAAUUCCAAAUCUACAUAGGUCUAGUCCAGGGGACAAAUCAAUAGGAAAUGCUAUUUGCUUCUUAAGAAGAAGAACUUUUUUGAAAUGAAAGAGUUUCCACGGGCGUCAGAUAUCAUUUCUUCAAAUAAGGAAGAAGUGUUAUCGAAGGAUUUCCUUCCAUUCUUCCUAGUAUGGAAGAAGUAAAGAAAAAGUACUGCGUCUUGAUCUAUACGAAAGGGCACUGGUUUUUUCUUUCGGUUUCAUUGAUAGCAGAAGAGUACGCUAGCUAGCGGAGCCUGAAAACGCUUGCUUGCGCCCCACCCCUACGGAAACUAUUGCCUAUGCUUGUUGCUUGCUCAGUGUCAGUAGAAGGGAAGAAAAGAUGGUCACUCCUUUUAGGAACAUGGCGAGCCUUACUUACGACUGUUGCACUUCACUCGCUGCUCGUUCAUUCACUUGCUCAUGAACUCGCUGCUUCGCCAGAAGCGACUAGUCGCCUCCUUUCCUCCACCGAAAGAUGCUUAGCCAGAAGCGACGAAGGAGGGGAGCUGGGGAAGGCCGACGAUGGCAAUGAGGGGGAAGCUGUCGUAGAAGCUUUGCCCCUUGCAUUACAUAAAUGGAUUGUUAUGAACUUACUAAAUGACCUUAUUUAUUCUCCCGGAACGCUAGCAAAUCUAAUAGUUCCAUCUGCUCUUCUUAACUUAAGAACGAAGGCCGCCAUCCUUCUUAUUCAGGAACCCUUUGUUUGAGGAGGGCGUAUCCCCGGGAAGGGGAGAGUGGCCGAGCGGUCAAAAGCGACAGACUGUAAAUCUGUUGAAGGUUUUCUACGUAGGUUCGAAUCCUGCCUCUCCCACUUGUUGUAGACUUAAGAGAAGAGAAAGUAGGCAGAAGCCUAGGAGGGCCAACCGAGCGAAGCUCUUUUUUUGGCCGUGCCGUGAAGUGCAAUUUUCUCGUAUGCGUUUUAGAGAGGUUGUUGAAAAAAGACGAUCUAUAGAGAUUCCCCAUCUAUAUCCAAUCGAGAAUAGAAGCUUCGAAGCUGGAGUGCUUUAGCCCUUUUUUAAGCAAGAAUCACCGUCUUGAGCGCCUUGCACGCUCAAGAACAAGCAAGGGAUGAGCGCUUUGUUGCUAAAGCGGAUACGUUUUCUUGCUGGGGAAGGCCAAUUUGAUCGAGGAUUGGAGAGGAGGGAGAGGUGGAAUAAAAAGCUCGGGAUGGAUUUUGGAGUCUUUGUGCGAGCCGUAUGCGGUGAGAGUCGCACGUACGGUAAGGAGGGGGGUUCGCGUCUAUACGUGUAGUGUGGUGGUUGGGCCUACCCACCCUAUUUGUUCCAUGAUCUAUGGGUCUACUGGAGCUACCCACUUCGAUCAAUUAGCCAAGAUUUUGACCGGAUACGAAAUCACUGGUGCUCGAUCUAGUGGUAUUUUUAUGGGGAUUCUUUUUAUCGCUGUAGGAUUCCUAUUCAAGAUUACUGCAGUUCCUUUUCGAGCGGCUGUAGGACAGACGGCCCCCUAUAGGUAGUAGGGUAGGGUGGGUGGUACCGCUCAGAUAGUGGCCAAUCCUCCUAACUGCGCGCGGGCCGGGCUUAGAGCGCGUGAAACUCAUCACUACCUCGCAAGGGCGUUGAGACCAUAGCAUGUUACACAAAAGCGCCGCUUUCUCAGGAGUGUUGUCACACAGCUGCCCGACUAGAAGAGCUACUCGCUCUGUAGUGUUGUCACACAAGAUAAGCACGCCGCCCGCCUGCUGGCCGGGCGAAUCGAAGUUAUCUUCCGGUCAACUGUCCACCCAGUCAAGUGCAAAAAACACAGUGGAAUCACGCAAUGCACGCUGCUGGUGUGCUUCCUGCCCACGAGGAAAGAAGAGCGACAAGGUUCAGAUUUGACUGUUUGCAGCAUGGGAGCUGAUUACCCAAAAAAUCCCUGGGAAAAAAGAAAAGAUAUCUCGGUAACGAAAACCAUAGGAGGCUGUAUUGGCGAGAUCCAAGGGUUCACAGCAGCCCAAAAGAAAAACCGCUUGGAAGUCCGAGGACCUUUAGUACCGUACUGAACCAGCAGCCUUCGCGCCAAGCGACGACCGCCCUUGUCCCUUUCAUUUUUCCACUCAGCCUACUUCUUAGCUUUGUUCCGUCAGUCUAAGGCAAAGCUUAAGUGGUUUUCCUACCUUACCCACUUGAUGAAAGGGAACGAACUUCGUUUCCUUGGCGGCUUUAUGGAUGGAUUCAGUCAGAAAAACUCCCUCCUUUUGAGAAAAGUGACGCUUUGCGUCUUCGCUUCCGAGGGUUAGGGUAUAGGCCAUUUCGAGCAAGCUUUUGCUUUUUCUCCCGGCUUUCUACAACUUUCGCUUUAGCUUCCAAAGGCGACCCAAUGACCUUUCCGGAAUUGGAAGUAUUCGUCGCCCUACCCUAAGAAAGAAGUCACUAUCAAACAGCUUGCCCUCCAGAAGUACCAAAGGUGCGCGGAGCCCGGUGAAAAUGAAUAUGUUUGCUACUGAAAGAAGCCUGCCUAUUGACUAAUAUUCGUCUUUAGAAUGAAAGUAGCUAUGAAGCCCAAUCUAUACUGUUGAUUCAAAAGGGGGCAUAGUCAUAUGGGUGGGGUGUUUGUGGGGAGCUGCCUUGGAUAUGAGGAAUUCCUCCAAUCUAAAAAAAUGAACAAAGAAAAAGUCCGUGACGAAGAUCUUUCUUUUCUAUCAAUAGAUAGGAAUGAGUGUUCGUUAUAGGGGAUAGGAUCCAUCUGCUCUCUCUCUCUCUCUAUUUUCUUUGAUGCAAUUUAGAGAGAAAGAGCAGUGCGAAUUAGAAAAAAAAGAGAAUCGGGAGAUGAUUCCAAAAUAGAUACAUAGACAUCUCAAGUAAAGGGAUGUAUAUAUUAUUCCUAUAUAUAUCAUCUAUCUAUGAAAAAAGUAAACAGAGUUCGUUUUUGGGUUCCCCAAAGCCCCGAAUGGAUUGGAUCGUUUCUGCUCCUGCCAACGAAAUGAAGGCCUCGCCCCUUCCGAAUGCUUCUCCGAUCCUGAAGUUCUCGCGAAGAGAAUAAGAUGCAGCUCCCCCUCCCUCUGUCUUUUUCUGCUUUGCUAAUCUUCCCCUC
rnacentral:lncRNA from 1 species